GGAUUGGGACAGCACUUUGAGACCUGCACUGCAAGGAGAGAGACGCCAAAACGAGAGGAUUACAAUUCUUUAAAAAAAAAAAAAAAAAAAUGACAGAAGAGAAGUUGCUGCAGCGACGAUUUGUCUGGUCUGAAGACCAAACCAAAAAAUUAAUUUGUCUCAGGAUAAAACAUGAAGCGCUAUUUACGGGCUUCCGCAACGCGUCCUUACAAGGAUUUGACUGUUCCAACACGACCGUAGGACGAAGAAGGCUGGUUUUCAGAGAGCAUCGCUGGGGGAGCUGACGGUGGAUGAGGAGCAUCGCCGUGUGGUGGCUUCAGGUUCAUGCUGUUGAAGAAGCCAGACACCUGACCCGG